GCCCUUGAGUUUGAUCCUGGCUCAGGAUGAACGUUGGCGGUGUGCCUAAUACAUGCAAGUCGAACGGUGACGAUUUUGUAGUAAUACGAAUGAAAUCAUAGUGGCGAACGGGUGAGUAACGCGUUGGUGAUCUGCCUCGAAGUGUGGAAUAACGCUCCGAAAGGAGCGCUAAUACCGCAUGUGCUCUCAUUGUUUAGAAAUUUGAGAGGAAAGGAUUUAUUCGCUUCGAGAGGAGCCUGCGUCCCAUCAGCUAGUUGGUAGGGUAACGGCCUACCAAGGCAAUGACGGGUAGGGGACCUGAGAGGGUGGCCCCCCACAAUGGAACUGAAACGCGGUCCAUACACCUACGGGUGGCAGCAGUAGGGAAUAUUAGAAAUGGACGAAAGUCUGAUCUAGCGACACCGCGUGUGCGAAGAAGGCCUUCGGGUUGUAAAGCACUUUUUGGAAGGAAUAGGAAGGAAGGUACUUCCAGAAUAAGUCUCGGCUAACUACGUGCCAGCAGCCGCGGUAACACGUAGGAGGCGAACGUUACCCGGAUUUACUGGGCGUAAAGCGCGUGUAGGUGGUUUUGUAAGUAGGGCGUGAAAGCUCCUGGCUCAACUAGGAGAGGCCGUUCUAAACUGCAGAGCUAGAGGAUGGUAGAGGGAGGUGGAAUUCCAGGUGUAGCGGUGGGAUGCGCAGAUAUCUGGAGGAACACCAGUGGCGAAGGCGGCCUCCUGGACCAUUCCUGACACUCAGACGCGAAAGCUAGGGUAGCAACGGGAUAGAGACC
rnacentral:rRNA from 1 species